ACAAUGAUACUUCUAUUCAGUCACAGUCCGAGCGUGGAAUGCGUCGCAGGCAAUGAGAGUAGUCCGGGCAGAGCCGGGAAGGUGAAAUUCCUAUGA
rnacentral:ncRNA from 1 species